rnacentral:piRNA from 1 species
UNCUAAGGUGGGAUAGUAUUCCAUGGUA